rnacentral:rRNA from 1 species
CCUACGGGGGGCAGCAGUGGGGAAUAUUGGACAAUGGGCGAAAGCCUGAUCCAGCCAUGCCGCGUGUGUGAAGAAGGUCUUCGGAUUGUAAAGCACUUUAAGUUGGGAGGAAGGGCAGUAAGCGAAUACCUUGCUGUUUUGACGUUACCGACAGAAUAAGCACCGGCUAACUCUGUGCCAGCAGCCGCGGUAAUACAGAGGGUGCAAGCGUUAAUCGGAAUUACUGGGCGUAAAGCGCGCGUAGGUGGUUUGUUAAGUUG